rnacentral:piRNA from 1 species
UCCUGGAGCACAUAGUGGGGAACUCAUAGA